GACAGAGGGUGCAAACGUUGUUCGGAAUUACUGGGCGUAAAGCGCGUGUAGGCUGCUUCGCAAGUCGGAUGUGAAAGCCCUGGGCUCAACCCAGGAAGUGCAUUCGAAACUGCAGAGCUGGAGUCCUGGAGAGGAAGGCGGAAUUCUCGGUGUAGAGGUGAAAAUUCGUAGAUAUCGAGAGGAACACCGGUGGCGAAGGCGGCCUUCUGGACAGUGACUGACGCUGAGACGCGAAAGCGUGGGGAGCAAACAGG
rnacentral:rRNA from 1 species